CCUACGGGAGGCAGCAGUGAGGAAUAUUGGUCAAUGGUCGGGAGACUGAACCAGCCAAGCCGCGUGAGGGAUGAAGGUACAGAGUAUCGUAAACCUCUUUUGUCAGGGAACAAAGGCGGGGACGCGUCCCCGGAUGAGUGUACCUGAAGAAAAAGCAUCGGCUAACUCCGGGCCAGCAGCCGCGGUAAUACGGAGGAUGCGAGCGUUAUCCGGAUUUAUUGGGUUUAAAGGGUGUGCAGGCGGUCUGUUAAGUCAGCGGUAAAAGCCCGGGGCCCAACCCCGGCCCGCCGUUGAAACUGGCAGUCUCGAGUUGGAGAGAAGUAUGCGGAAUGCGCGGUGUAGCGGUGAAAUGCAUAGAUAGCGCGCAGAACUCCGAUUGCGAAGGCAGCAUGCCGGCUCCACACUGACGCUGAGGCACGAAAGCGUGGGUAUCGAACAGGAUUAGAUACCCGGGUAGUC
rnacentral:rRNA from 1 species